CCCAUCACCCGUAGUGGCUAGCAUCGGCCGCUCUCAUUCAGAGUAAGAGCACAUAAUACCGGCCAUACCGGGGUUCGAUUCCCCGUAAUGGAA